AUUGAACGCUGGCGGCAGGCCUAACACAUGCAAGUCGAACGGUAACAGGAAACAGCUUGCUGUUUCGCUGACGAGUGGCGGACGGGUGAGUAAUGUCUGGGAAACUGCCUGAUGGAGGGGGAUAACUACUGGAAACGGUAGCUAAUACCGCAUAACGUCGCAAGACCAAAGAGGGGGACCUUCGGGCCUCUUGCCAUCGGAUGUUCCCAGAUGGGAUUAGCUAGUAGGUGGGGUAACGGCUCACCUAGGCGACGAUCCCUAGCUGGUCUGAGAGGAUGACCAGCCACACUGGAACUGAGACACGGUCCAGACUCCUACGGGAGGCAGCAGUGGGGAAUAUUGCACAAUGGGCGCAAGCCUGAUGCAGCCAUGCCGCGUGUAUGAAGAAGGCCUUCGGGUUGUAAAGUACUUUCAGCGGGGAGGAAGGGAGUAAAGUUAAUACCUUUACUCAUUGACGUUACCCGAAGAAGAAGCACCGGCUAACUCCGUG
rnacentral:rRNA from 1 species